CCCAGGAGAUGGACAAAAUGUGAAAGAAAGGAUUUCUAUGAAAAAAUGUCUGUGACAAUCCCCAACAGCUGACUCGGUGGUUUUUGUGGUGUUUUUUCCGUGGCAGGACGAGGCGGGGGCCGAGAAGGAGAACAGCUCGGUGCUGCAGCAGAGCAGCUCCCUGGCGGGCAGCAGGAACGGCGACGAGAACGUCAUCGACAACCCCUACCUGAGGCCCGUCAAGAAACCCAAAAUCCGCAGGAAGAAGUGAAGGAAACGGUUCCCGAAAUUCCCCUCAGGAGGGGUCUCUGGGCCCACUCCCACCCUGCUCUCCCUCUGCUCACUGCCCUGGGCCAGGAGAACCCUUGGGAAUGGUCCGGGGGGCUUCGGGCUCUGCUCUGGGGGGAUUUCAUUGCUGAGGGGCUGAGAGAGCCAGGGCUUGGAGGGGCUGGGGGACACAGGGAUGGAUUUGGAUUUGGAGGACACAGGAAUUGGAUUUGAAUUUGGAUUUGGAUUUAGAGGACACAGGAAUUGGAUUUGGAUUUGGAUUUGGAGGACACAGGAAUUGGAUUUGAAUUUGGAUUUGGAGGACACAGGGGCUGAAUUUGGAUUUGGAGGACCAAGGGAUUGGAUUUGGAUUUGGAUUUGCAUUUGGAUUUGGAGGACCAAGGGUUUGGAUUUGGAGGAACCCAGGGGUUGGAUUUGAAGAACACAGGGGUUGGAUGGACACAGGGGUUGGAUUUGGAUUUGAAUUUGGAUUUGGAGGACACAGGGGCUGGAUUUGGAUUUGGAUUUGGAGGACACAGGAAUUGGAUUUGGAUUCGGAUUUGGAUUUGGAGCACCCAAGGGUUGGAUUUGGAGGACACAGGAGCUGGAGCUGAGGGAUCCAGGGCUUGGAGGGACACAGGGAUUGGAUUUGGAUUUGAAUUUGGAUUUGGAGGACACAGGGGUUGGGAUUGGGUUUGGAUUUGGAGGACCCAGCCUUUAUUUCCCCCCUUUAUUCCCUUUAUUUCCUUCCUUUAUUUCCUCCUUUUAUUCCCUUUAUUUCCCCCCUUUACUUCCUUUAUUCCCCCCUUUAUUCCCUUUUAUUUCCCCCCUUUAUUCCCUUUAUUUCCUUCCUUUAUUUCCCCCCUUUAUUUUCCCCCUUUAUUCCCUUUAUUUCCCCCCUUUAUUCCCUUUAUUUCCUUUAUUUCCUCCCUUUAUUUCCUCCCUUUAUUCCCUUUAUUUCCCCCCUUUAUUUCCUCCCUUUAUUUCCCCCCUUUAUUUCCUGCCUUUAUUCCCUUUAUUUUCCCCCUUUAUUCCCUUUAUUUCCCCCCUUUAUUCCCUUUAUUUCCCCCUUUAUUUCCCCCCUUUAUUCCCUUUAUUUCCUUCAUUUAUUUCCUCCCUUUAUUUCCUUUAUUUCCCCCCUUUAUUUCCCCCUUUUAUUCCCUUUAUUCCCUUUAUUUCCCCCCUUUAUUUCCUCCCUUUAUUUCCUUUAUUUCCCCCCUUUAUUUCCUCCCUUUAUUUCCACAUCACUCUUGUCAUUAUUUGCUGCUUCUGGAGGGCUUUGCUUUCAUUUCCCUUCAGCAUUUUCUUAUAGAAAAUAAAGAAGAAAAAUCUUCUUCAUUUUAGGGUUAAAAAAAACAAAAAAAGGUUUUCUUUGGUUCCUUUAGAAAAACCAUUUGGGUUUUCUUUAACCCAAAACCUGGGUUCAGUUCCCAUCAGAAAAAGCUCCUGAGGUUUGGUCCAAAAUCCUCCNGUUUAUUCACUCCAUCAAUCACUUUUUAUAACCGUGUUAAUUAAGUUCAUGCAUAUUGCAAUGAACUUAA
rnacentral:lncRNA from 1 species